rnacentral:rRNA from 1 species
AGAUUGAACGCUGGCGGCAUGCCUAACACAUGCAAGUCGAACGGGAGUAGCAAUACUCUAGUGGCGGACGGGUGAGGAAUACGUAGGAAUUUGCCCUUAAGUGGGGGAUAACCCGGGAAACCCGGAUUAAUACCGCAUGACCUCGAAAGAGCAAAGUGGGGGAUCGCAAGACCUCACGCUUUUGGAGAAGCCUACGUCGGAUUAGCUAGUUGGUGAGGUAAUGGCUCACCAAGGCGACGAUCCGUAACUGGUCUGAGAGGAUGAUCAGUCACACCGGAACUGAGACACGGUCCGGACUCCUACGGGAGCAGCAGUGGGGAAUAGUUGGACAAGUGGGCGCAAGCCUGAUCCAGCAAUG